rnacentral:rRNA from 1 species
AGCGAACGCUGGCGGCAGGCCUAACACAUGCAAGUCGAGCGCCCCGCAAGGGGAGCGGCAGACGGGAGAGUAACACGUGGGAACGUACCCUUUGGUUCGGAACAACCCAGGGAAACUUGGGCUAAUACCGAAUAAGCCCUUACGGGGAAAGAUUUAUCGCCGAAGGAUCGGCCCGCGUCUGAUUAGCUAGUUGGUGAGGUAACGGCUCACCAAGGCGACGAUCAGUAGCUGGUCUGAGAGGAUGAUCAGCCUCACUGGGACUGAGACACGGCCCAGACUCCUACGGGAGGCAGCAGUGGGGAAUAUUGGACAAUGGGCGCAAGCCUGAUCCAGCCAUGCCGCGUGGGUGAUGAAGGCCCUAGGGUUGUAAAGCCCUUUCGGCGGGGAAGAUAAUGACGGUACCCGCAGAAGAAGCCCCGGCUAACUUCGUGCCAGCAGCCGCCGUAAGAC